AUACGGAGGGUGCAAGCGUUAAUCGGAAUUACUGGGCGUAAAGCGCGCGUAGGCGGUUUAGUAAGUCGGAUGUGAAAGCCCAGGGCUCAACCUUGGAAUUGCAUUCGAUACUGCUUAACUAGAGUGUGGUAGAGGGUAGUGGAAUUUCCGGUGUAGCGGUGAAAUGCGUAGAUAUCGGAAGGAACACCAGUGGCGAAGGCGACUUCCUGGGCCAAUACUGACGCUGAGGUGCGAAAGCGUGGGGAGCAAACAGGAUUAGAUACCCCGGUAGUCC
rnacentral:rRNA from 1 species